rnacentral:lncRNA from 1 species
UUUCAAUUGAAUUCUCGCAGAGCAUAAGAGGAAGAACAAACCUUAGAUCGCUUGUUGAGAGGCCCAUGCGCUUCUUCCAAAUCAUCCUCAGCGAUCUCCAGCUUCACCGGGAGCUCAUCACGGCACUUGGACGCCAAUUCAGAGUCAGGUUUCGUAACCCCAGAUUUCCUCAUUUCCACCAUCAAAACACGAAACCCUUUCUCCCUGAUCAAACCCCAGAUUCAGAGAAACCAAUUCGAUAGCGAAAUCACGAAUACGAAAGAAAAAGUUUGGAUCUUUUUUUUUCUCCCACAGAGGAUUAUCCAGAACGCGAAAGAGAAUCAGCAAACCCUAGAAAAUCAGAUCUAUUUGAUUGAAAAGGAGGAUUCUUUUGGCGGCUAGCGACGCGAGUUUUACGCUUUGUACGCCACGCGCUAUUGUGAUUUGACGGGAAAGGGUUUGAAAAGUCCGACACAGCCACCGUUUUGUGUGUGUGUGAGGAGGGCUGAGAUGGUCAUUUCGUAUUUUUUAGUAAAUGUUAAAAUUAAUUCGCUGGCGGACAGCCAGUAGUUCUUGAUAUAUCGGGUGGGUCCCGUAAUUUGCUUAUUCUUGUGACGGCUAUAGAUAGAGAUUUUGCCACGUGUUACUCGUUUUCACUGCCUAAUUUGUUAGGCUUUUUUUUUGUAGUCACUGGUCAAUGAUGUUGUCUUAAGCCACGUAAGGUUAGUCAGGACUCAACAAAAUACAAUCUUGUUGUCUUAAGCUACUUAAGGUAGCCAGGACUAAGUUAAAUAGAAAUCUUCUUUUAAAUUGCAAGUAAAGUCUCAUUCUAAUUGUGGUUGAGAAUAGACCAGGACUUCAAAAUUUUCUUUUAGAAAAAAAGCAUAAUGAAAUAAAAUUUCUUGAAUUUGUGCUUCAAAUUAAUGUUAACAAAAUACAUUAUCAAAUAAAAUAAUGAAUAUCAUAAAAAUACAAAUCUAUAAAAUUGGAACAUACUCAUUUUAAAUCUUGUCUCAUUUGGAUUUUAAACAUAUAGUUAGAAUGAGUUUAGUUGCAAGAAUUACCGUCACUCCCACGUCUCAUGUUUAAUAUAGAAAGCAAAUCUCAAGAUGAUAACAUUUUGAUGAUAAAAAUAGUAAACUAAGGUUUUCGGUAUAAUAUUAUAAUUAGUUUACACGUACACAUGAGUACAUAUCAUCUCUCAAGUUAAUUUAGAUUGCAAAAAGCUUGAAUCCACGCUAUUCAGUGUUACAAGUCCUUUAUCUACGGACAUCCCUCUCCUCUGGAAUGGCAAAUGGAGAAAACGAAAUGAAAAAAUGACUGAUGGCUCAAAUUAUAAGUCGCACACAAACAAAACAGAAAUAUUAUCUUUGUUUUCUUUCUCCUCAACGCUCUUUUCCUUGCGUGUGUGGGAUUUAUUCUGUUCAUCUUGUUACAAGCUGAUAUUCAUCAACCUAUCAACCUCAUUUGGAAAAAAAAAGUUUUGAAAGAAGAAGAAAAAGAAGAAAGAGAAAUUUCGUAAAUGGAGGAUGAUAUAUAUAGUAACCACUAAGCGUUUUCUUGAUCCUUCAUCAUCUUUAAGAUUGGUCUUUCUUUAAAAGAACAAUGCCUGUGCCAGAUCCACGAGCGGGGCAGGCAUUCAUCUGUCUCAUUACCUUAUUUCUUUUCUUGUCGAUUGCUGUCGGAGGAGGUUGUCUCAUUGCAUACACAGUCCUUCCUUACCCUUCAAUCUGGCUCGCUUACAUCGGCAUUUUCUUUGUUUGUCUUCCUUGGUUCUUUUGGAUCUUAACAUUUUCAUACCGCAUUGUUUCACGCACUUUUGGAUUCAGGAUGGUCAUUGGAUCUGGUGGUAACAAUAACAGUGCCAAUGGAGAGGCCAAGCCACGCGAACUUGACCCUCCCGAGCAAUCGUUAGAGUCUCCUAAAGAUGAACCUGAGGCAAUGGCUCGUCCGCAAGGCCAUAUUCUAAUGUCAAUGGAAGGGAACCAAUCCAAGAAACGAAUGUCAACAUCCAGCGUCGGUUCACAUGAAAGUGAGAUGCCACUAGCCAUUUCUAUGGGCUCAUGAUGAUCAUAUAUGCUUCCUUUGAUGAUAUAUAAUGAGAUCUUGACAUUGAUAGCAUCAGGACGGAGAUGCUAACCAGAUGCUUAGCCUCUUGAAAACAUGGAUAUAUAUUUGCUGUUUUUACUUUGUAUCUUAUACAGAUAGAUUUGUAGAUUCAACAAAAGAAAGUUUUACACCUUUUACUACUACCAAAGUUUUUCCCUCAAGCCCAAACCCCAACAAAGUUUUUUUUUUUUUUUUGGUAAAAAAACCCCAACAAAGUUGAGGUGGUUUUCCGGUUUAUGUUUAGAAAUCGAGAGAAAUGUUUGUUACAAAGGGGAACAGUCUGAGAUGUUUCACGUGGUGCAUGUAAUGCGGAUUUUAAUUUAUAGGAUAGAUAAACAUUUUAGAUUCAUAAAAUUUAUGUAAUUUUGUAUAUAUCUAUAACUAGUUAUGUAAUAUAGCUCUGCUGUGAAGCCUUUGAUUUUGGGGCUAAGACUUAGAGGUUCUUUAACUUGACAUACAAGCCAUGAUAUCAGAUUGUUAAGUACCAAAUGCUGGAAUCCGCAAAUGGGUCACUUUAUGUUCUGACAUGUUUGAACUAGUUAUAACACUAGAGGAUUUGGUAAAAUUACAAACAUUUUUGAUUUCCUGAUCACUCUUGAGCUUUCCUCGGGAAAAUUGUCACAGUUUGGUUCUUAAAACAAUACUGUUCGUGUGUUAUCCUUAUAUUACGUUAACUGAUUCUAACAUCAAAUCAUUUUUAUUAUCUAUCAAACGUGUAUAUCAUCAUAUCCAUCAUCCAUGCAAACAGUUUGCUGAACAUUGAACAACGCUAAAAACUAUGGCAUCAUACUGGCUCUACAUGUUUAAGAAUUUGCAGUCUAUUGUUUUUCACUACUUUUCAUAUUAUAACAGAAAGUAGAAGAAGAGAAUUUUUUUUCUUUUGACUAAACAACUAAGCGACAAGCCUUAGACAAACGAAGAAACAUUGCAAAGACAUGUCAUUUACAAUAACUCUAGUUUCUAGUGUGGUCAACAUAAUGGUGUUAAGCACGUGAAUAUCCAUCAUUUGACUCUUGCUUGCCAUACAUAAUCACACCAGGAAACAACGAUUUAUCUUUCAUUUCUGCAUAUACUUAAUAUAUGAGGAUUACCGUUGUAGCUUUAUAACAGUAGUUACUAAUGAUAAUAACAUACAUAUAUAUAAAAUAUAUAUAUAAUCUUCAUCAGUCAUUGUUAUCUAGUACUCUUCUUCAGAAAAGUAUGAUUGACUUCCUUUGUUUUCUUUCUAUCUGGAGUACUCCACAUGAGCAAUUAGGUGUACUGUGAGUAUAUUUAGAUGUUAUUCGGAUUCUUAGCUGAUAGAUUUGUAUCCAAGUAUCAUAUUUCAUUUGUAGACGCGUAUAAAAUCAUACAAUAACAAUUACAUAAACAAUAUUUCGGUAAGCAACGUGAGAUUCAAUAACUUUUGUUCAUAUGUAUGAAACGUUAAUCUUAUGAUUUCUGGAGAAAUUGAAGCCACGAACGGACCACGGACGACUAGACGAGUAAGAGACGUGUGCUAGGUUCAAUGAUUCUGAAUAAUUUGGCAGUACGUACAUGUGUAGCCAACACAAAAGAAAGAAAAAUACAUCUACACAAUAUUAAUAUUUGAAACUAAUAAAAGUCCAAGUGGACGUAAAGUGGGAGCAAGACAUCACACGGCAAGGGACACACAACUGAAAGAGAGACAAAGGUAUAUAGAAAGCUUAAGAUCAUAUGAUAUGUCCGAAUCAUCUCAUGUGCAAACUUCUUUUUUAAAACGGGUUUGUUGAUUUUUUUAUUAUUAUGAAAAUUGUGUUGGUAUUAAUGUUCUAAACAUCAUCAUACUCAUUACAGAGUUUAUAAUGUCGUCAUCGCUUACCAGACUCGACCAAAAUAGUGAAAUUUAUUGAUAAGAAAAUCAAGAUAUUGAGGCAAUUGUUUUUCUAACUGUUUUAUGGAUGAACGCUUAGAAAAAAAAACCUGUGUAGCGAUUUUGAGGGUAAUCAACAUACAUAACCCUUUAAGAGAAUAAACAAUGCAAUUAGCAAUUAAUUAGAAUCUUGAUGUGUCAAGUGAAAUAAUAUCCCAUACAAAAAUAUAUCUUAGCAAAAAAAGUGAAAUAUAUAACAUACAAUCCAUGUGGUUUCAGAUUCUUAAUAUGUUUGAUAUGAAAGACAUCUAUUGUAACUAUAUAAAUAGAUACAUAUAUGUAGAGAAAGUUAGUUGGGGGCUAACCAGUAGCCAUCGUAAGUGUUUGGUAAAUAUUAUUUUCUGAAGUAGAAGAAGAAACAAAAGAAAAAAAUAGAAGAGACCAAACACUUAUCAUGAUUCAUGAGUAACCAUCAUAGUUCUCAUUUCUCCAAGAAAAUUUAUUGUUUACUUUCAAUUUUUUUUCCUUGAAGAAGAGCUUUUCCUUGUAGCUCUUAUGAUUAUAGUUAAGGUUAGGUGUGAAAAAGUAACCGAAUGUAAAUCAAGCUUUCGGCGAAAAUGCUACUUGUAUGCAACAAAAAGUGUUACAAAAAAAAAAAAAACGAAAACAAUCAUUAGUUUGAUAAACUUUGUCACUUUUGAUCUCGAUUGUUUCCCAUUUCAGUUCUUUUUUAUCUCCUUAUAAUUAACCUCCAUCAAAGAAACAAAAAAGGAGAUACAAACUCAUGAUCACUAUUAUGAUAUGUUUGAAGUAAUUUGGGAACGUAUGCGUGACAUAAGGGAGGUGCAGACAACCUAUCAGACGUUGACAAUCACCUAAAUGUAACGCUAUCUAUCUCGUCUUUGAGAGCUGUUUAUAUGCGAGCUUCUUUGAUUUAAUUAAUAUUAUUGUAUCGGCAUUUCUAAUCCUACUUUAUUUUCUCUCUAAAAUAGAGUUUAAAGUAAAAAUACUUCAAUAGUACUCUAUUUUCUACUCUAUAAUAGUGUAAAUCUAUUUUUUACUCUAUAUAUAGAGUAAUUUUUUUUUGUUCAUCAUUCUAUUUCUCACUAUAAAAUAAAGUAUAAUUGGAGCAACAUUCAACUCUAUUAUAGAAUUACUUUAUUUUAGAGAAAAAAAUAGAUGGUCUUACAUGAUGGUUACUAAUUAUAUACUGAACCUGAUAAACCAACUAUUAAUAAAGAUAUUGAAGUUGUUUGAUACUACUAUUUUAAUUUUGAUUCAGAGUAGUUAAACACAAGAAUGAAUGAUGACUUUACUGGGAAACUAAAGUUAACUCAAAACCAAAUGAUUUCAAAAACUAUAUAAAUAAGAGGAAAAAUACGGAAAUUCAUAAUGACUACUUAUUAGUACUAAUAUAAAAACUAAAUGAUUUGGUCUCCUUUGUUACUGACCUCUCUACGAGCAAAAGAGAGAAGAAGAAAACUCUUUUAAUUAUCAAAAUUAGGUGGCGCGAAAAUAACGCCCUCUCUCUCUCUCUUACUAUUAAUCUUUAUCUCUCUCUGAUCUUUCAAUCGCCCGAUCAAAUUCUUCUACCUCUGGCGUUUUUUUUAAUUGUUCACGAGCAUUCCUCAUCAUCGCCGGCGGCAAUAGACUUGUGAUUCCGAUCGCGUUUGUAUUCCUCAUUACGAAUCUCGAAAGGCAUUGAAGAUUGUAUCUUUCCUGGUAAGAUAAUUUUCUAAUUCCCGAGCUCGAGAUUCCUUGGAUCUUCGCAUUUUGGUUUAUCAAUUCCCAAUUUUUGAUUCUACCCAAAAUCUAAAGAACCCUAAAAAUCAUGAAUUUUCAUUACUUGCGAUCUGAGAUUUCAUGAGUUAGGACAAAGAAUGUUUUUUUUUGUGUGGUUUGAUUAUUGAUACAAAUCUAUGUUUGGUUUAAGACACGUAAUUCCUGUUUCGGCUUUUCGUGAAUUUGCUUAGAAAAAAAUGUUUUGUUUGUUUCUUAGGAAAAUUACUAAAUUUGAUUAACGAAGAGUCUGUGUCAUGAGAGACACAAGUCGGUCUGUAAACAGACAAAUCUUCCAUUUUUAUUUUUUUUUGGAUUUUUCGUCUUAAACACUGAAUAAUAAUAGUGUUUUCUUGUUUUCUUUUGUGAGUUUCCUUCACUUUCUCAAAUUGGUCAAUGUUUUCAAACACCACGAAUCAUCACUCUUACUGCAUUUCAUCAUACAAUCCCUGGUUCUUACACAAACGUGGUCCCCUAACUGGAGAAACAUCAUAAUCUGCAAAAUGUCCUUAUGUGUUUGUUGUUAUAUAAGUUUCUUAUUGUCAAAUAUUGUCACACAGAUUAUUAAAAUCUCUCAAGCUGCUUAGUUUCAGUAAGUUUCUUUUGUUCUUUUUCUUCUCUCUUUAUUGGAAAGACGAAGAAGAAGAUUGGUCCCCUUAAUUUUUUUUUCCAGCCAGUCUGAUAAUGGCACUUCUGUGAUAAGGACACUGCAGCAGAUUCUUCUUUCAGAAAAUCUUCCAUUAAAAAAUAUUUUCUUGAUAUUGUUAAACUGCAACUAACUAGUUAGAACUAAACCCACCUUUCUCUCUUGUUUACUGUUCUUUUUUAAAAAUAUAUAUCUUUCUUGCACUGUCUAUCUGCGAGGUAUCUUACUUUUUCCUCAUGUGUUUUGACUUUCUUGCAGUAUAAAGAAACUAGAGGCAUGAGCUCCUGAAUCCAAUCAAUGCAAGUUUGUUUCAUUAAAGCUUUGAAUGGAUGUAGCAACAGAUACUACAAGACGGAGACUUGUUCCAUCAGAUAAGAACAAUGCGUCCACUGCCACUCGCCGUCCUCGAACAGCAACAGAGGUCAGUUCAAGAUACAGAUCACCUACACCAACCAGAACCACUCGAUGCCCUUCCCCAAGCCUCACAAGGCCUACUGUUUCUUCCACCUCUCAAUCCGUAUCCGCCAAAAGAGCUGUUUCCGCUGAGAGGAAGCGUCGUCCUUCAACACCUCCAUCUCCCACUAGUCCAUCCACGCCUAACGUGUCUAUAGACUUACCAGCUUCAUCUAGGCGGUUAUCCACAGGUCGUUUGCCUGAGAGCUUAUGGCCUUCUACUAUGAGAAGCCUCAGCGCUUCGUUUCAGUCGGAUUCUUCUGUCUCAGUCCCUGUUGGUAAGAAGGAGAGACCGGUUAGUAGCUCUUCAUCUGACCGAACGUUGAGACCUUCUUCUAAUAUAGCUCAGAAGCAGAAGGCUGAAACGGUAUCUGUGUCAAGGAAACCUACGCCGGAGAGGAAAGUAAGUCCGUUGAAAGGGAAGAACAAUGCAUCUGAUCGUUCAGAGAAUUCGAAACCUGUGGAUGGUCAGCACAGUAGGUUAAUAGAACAGCACCGGUGGCCUAGUAGAAUCGGUGGAAGGAACUCACUAAACAGAAGUUUGGAUCUUGGAGACAAGGCUUCAAGGGGUCUGUCUACUUCAGGACCUGGAAUGAGACCGUCUCCUAGGAGAAUGUCACUGCCUUUGUCCAACGGCUCGAAACCUUUGCAUAAAACUUCUACAAACGGUGAUGUACUGUCUCCAACGAAGUCGGAAGAUAAUAACAUAGGGCGAAGUUCAGGAGCUCAAAGACUUUUGUCUGCAAGUUCGUUAGAUAGAGCGUCCUUAGCAACGGCUGUAGCCAAGCUGCAUCCAUUAUCUCGCCCUGCUUCACCAAGUAGAACUUCUUUUUCGUCGUCUCUCUCCCGAGGCAUGAGUACUUCGAGAGGAGUGAGUCCUUCAAGAGGACUAAGCCCUGCAAGAGGGUUGAGUCCUGCACGAGGUGUAAGUCCUGCUAGAGGGUUGAGUCCUUCGCGUGUGACAAGCUCUUCUUCUUUUGCGAGACCAUCAACUCCACCUUCAAGAGGGGUAAGUCCUUCCCGGAUAAGACAAAGCAGCGAUUCUACACAAUCAAUCAGUACCACCGCAACUUCGGUUCUCAGCUUCAUCACGGAUGUGAAGAAAGGCAAAAAGGCAAACUACAUCGAAGACGUUCAUCAACUGCGUCUGCUCCACAAUAGGUAUUUACAGUGGCGGUUUGUACUUGCGCGUGCUGAAGCUGCCAUGUACAUUCAACGUUUAACUUCCGAGGUAGAUAAUACUACUCUCUAACGGUUCCACAACUGAUUGAUCUCUGAAAAUUCAAGUUUUGAUAUUUCAGGAAACACUAUUUAAUGUGUGGCAUGCGAUAUCAGAACUACAAGAUGAUGUGACCAGCCAAAGGAUUGGCCUACAACAGCUGAAGCUAGAGAUCAAACUCAACUCACUAUUAAACGAUCAAGUACGUUUUCCCUCUUUCUCUGUGUUGUAUACUGGCUUUGUAUACAUCAGAUUAAACCAUGCUGAUGUAUAAGUAUGUGCGUAGAUGGUGAGCCUUGAAGAAUGGGCCACACUUGAAAGAGAGCAUGUUAGUUCUCUAGUUGGAGCCAUAGCAGAUUUAGAAGCAAAUACUCUCCGCCUUCCAGCUACUGGAGGAACAAAGGUAUGCAUUGUUACUAUUCCUUCAGAAAGAUCAAGAAUAUAGUUAUCAUUUUAUAACUUCUCUUCCUACAGGCGGACGUAGAGUCUUUGAAAGCAGCUAUGUCCUCGGCACUCGAUGUAAUGCAGGCUAUGGGAUCGUCCAUUUGGUCUUUACUCUCCAAGGUGAGAGACCUUUUUAGUAAAUCUACUGUCCAAUGUUUAUCCUCUUCAUAACUCUCACUGCUCUUUAUAAUUGUUACAGGUGGAGGAGAUGAACAAAAUGGUCUCAGAACUCGCUGUAGUAGUUGCAAAAGAGAGUUCUAUGCAAGGAAAAUGCGAAGAUCUUCUGGCCUCCACUGGCAUCAUGCAGGUAACAAAAACAAUCCAGUAGUUUAGUGUAGAAUGAAUUUUGAAAAAAAAUGAACUGAAACCGAGUUUUGGUGGCAUGGAACAGAUAAAAGAGUGUAGCCUAAGGACUCAUCUGAUACAAACUAGGAGAGAAGGAGAAGAAGAUGCAGAGGAGGAGACUCCUCCAGUGUUGCCACAAAGCAAGUUUCCAUGGCCAUAAAUAACACACUUACAGUUCCACUCCCUCAACACUGAUGACUAAUCAUCACCUGUAAAUUGCUCUUUGAUGCCCUCACAUUUUUCUUUUUGAUCUUUCCUUGUUUUUUUUUUUUUGUGUAUGAAACAUUAGCAUAGGGAAAGAAGGAAGUGAAAGAUCGAGAGUUCGAAAGUCGUAGGAAGAGGAAAAAACCAAUUUAAUUGUAAACUCUGAUGUAAGGUUUCUUUGAGGCGUUUUAUUUAUAUAGAGUCGAUUAGUUUAAACUUUAAACUUUAAACGAUUCAUAACAAAAACUAACUUUAGGAUUGUUCAUAAAUCAUAACUAAUCGCAUCAUGUAAUCGUUUGAUGCAAAACGUUUAAAUAAAUAAAAAUGUAAGAAACGCAAAAUGAGUCGUUUCCUUUUCACUCAAACGCAAAUGUUACUACGGACAGUAACAGCCGCCACCGCCGAGACAACCGUUGCAGUGAUAAACAACAACAAGAACAGCUUCUUCGAUCUCUUCAAAACAUCAACUUCACUCUCUCACCUCGCCCAAACCCACGCUCAGAUCAUUCUCCAUGGCCACCAAAACGACAUCCAACUACUCACAAAACUCACCCAACGUCUCUCCGACCUCGGCGCCAUCCCUUACGCUCGCGACCUCGUCCUCUCCUUCCAUAAACCCGACGUCUUCCUCUUCAACGUCCUCAUGCUCGGCUUCUCCAAGAACGGAUCGCCUCACUCUUCUCUCUCUCUCUUCUCCCACUUGAGGAAACACACUGACCUCAAACCCAAUAGCUCCACUUACACGUACGCUAUCUCCGCCGCUUCGAGUAUUCAUGACGAGAGAGCUGGCCGUUCUGUUCAUGGUCAAGCGGUCGUUGAUGGGUUUGACUCGGAACUACACGUCGGGUCCAAUACCGUCAAGAUGUACUUCAAGUUUUCGCGGGUGGAUGAUGCACGGAAGGUGUUCGACAGAAUGUCUGAGAGAGACGUGGUUUUGUGGAAUACUAUGUUAUGUGGAUACAGAGAGAAUGAGAUGUAUGAGGAGUCUGUUAAGGUUUUUAGGGAUUUGAUUAACGAGAGCUGUACUCGUUGGGACUCGACGACUGUGUUGAAUAUACUCCCUGCUGUUGCGGAGUUGCAGGAGCUGAGGGUUGGGAUGCUAAUCCAUAGUCUCGCGAUGAAGACAGGGUGUUAUUCCCACGAUUUUGUUCUCACGGGUUUCAUCUCGUUGUACUCGAAAUGUGGAAAGGUUGAAGCUUUGGAUGCUCUGUUUCGAGAGUUUUGUGCACCGGAUGUGGUGGCUUACAAUGCGAUGAUUCACGGGUAUGCUUCUAACGGCGAGACUGAGCUCUCGUUAAGGCUGUUUAGAAAGCUGGUGUUGUCGGGGGAAAGGUUGAACUCAAGCACGCUGGUGAGUUUGAUCCCUGUCUCUGGUGGUCAUCUUAUGCUUGUAUAUGCCAUUCACGGUUACAGCUUGAAAUCAGGUUUCUUGUCUCAUGAAUCUGUCCCAACCGCGUUAACAACGGUUUACAGUAAAAUGGACGAGAUGGAAUCAGCACGGAAGGCUUUUGAUGAGUGUACGCACAAAAGCUUGGCGUCUUGGAACGCAAUGAUCUCGGGUUAUACACAAAACGGGUUGACAGAGGACGCGAUAUCUCUGUUCAGAGAAAUGCAGAAGUCUGAGUUUCGUCCGAACCCGAUCACGAUAACUUGUAUUCUAUCGGCUUGUGCGCAGUUAGGAACGUUGAGCUUGGGGAAAUGGGUGCAUGGUUUAGUAAGGGGUAGCGAUUUUGAGUCUAGCAUAUAUGUGUCUACUGCUUUGAUUGGUAUGUAUGCAAAGUGCGGAAGCAUUGAAGAAGCACGCCGGUUGUUUGACUUGAUGCCGAAGAAGAAUGAAGUUACAUGGAACACAAUGAUCUCCGGUUAUGGGCUCCAUGGACAUGGACAUGAAGCUCUGAAUAUCUUCACUGAGAUGUUGAACUCCAGCGUUGCACCGUCGCCAGUCACUUUCCUCUGUGUUCUCUACGCUUGUAGUCAUGCUGGCCUGGUCAAGGAAGGUGAUGAGAUUUUCAGUUCCAUGAUCCACCAGUAUGGUUUUGAACCAACGGUGAAGCAUUACGCUUGCAUGGUUGAUAUUCUUGGCCGAGCAGGACAUUUGCAGAGAGCGUUGCAGUUCAUAGAGGCAAUGCCAGUUGAGCCGGAUCCUUCCGUGUGGCAGACACUGCUUGGAGCUUGUAGGAUUCACAAAGACACAAACCUUGCACGUACCGUCUCCGAGAAGCUCUUUGAGCUGGAUCCAGACGAUGUUGGAUACCAUGUUUUGCUGUCAAAUAUUCACUCGGCUGAUAGAAACUAUCCACAGGCUGCUACGGUCAGACAAGAAGCAAAGAAGAGGAAACUAGCCAAGGCUCCUGGUUAUACCUUGAUAGAAAUUGGUGAGACGCCUCAUGUGUUUACCUCGGGUGAUCAGUCACAUCCACAGGUAAAAGCAAUAUAUGAGAAGCUAGAGGAGCUCGAAGGGAAGAUGAGGGAAGCUGGGUAUCAACCGGAGACUGAAUUGGCCUUGCACGACGUGGAGGAGGAAGAAAGGGAGCUGAUGGUGAAAUUUCAUAGUGAGAGGCUAGCCAUUGCCUUUGGACUCAUUGUCACCGAACCAGGAACUGAAAUUCGGAUCAUAAAGAAUCUCAGGGUCUGUUUAGACUGUCAUGCCGUAACCAAACUCAUCUCGAAGAUCACAGAGAGAGUGAUAGUUGUAAGAGACGCCAACCGCUUCCACCAUUUCAAAGAUGGUGCUUGUUCUUGCGGAGAUUAUUGGUAGUGACUUGUUUUGGCCGCAAGACAAGUCAUCUUGUACUCAUAAUGUAACAUUACAUCACUCAUAAGUGAUUAUUCUUUAAGUCUUGGUUUCUUGUUAUUCAAAUAAUCUUCACAUACAUGGAAAUAAAAGGAACUAUACCGAAACUUAUCAAACUCACUGUUAUUACCAGAUAAUAUAUCUUCAGACAAUUGUGCAUCAUGUAUCCUUAAGUUGCAGUCCCGUCGCUGAAACUUCAUCAUCAGCUGACUUUUUCUUCUUUUUUAGGGAGUGGUUCUUGAGCUUUCCGAAGAACUUCCUUGUUUGGUACCAAGACAAUAAAACAAGUUUCUGUCUCUGAAGUAUUUACUUUCCUCAGUCGCAAGCUUUAGAUGUUGACAAGUUUCAGCGACUCAAGUAACAAGAGCAAUGCAGAUGCCAAUCCAAUUUCAAUUAGAAAAGACUAAAGAGGUUAGAGUACACAAUACACAGACCUCUCCAAUUUCAGUCUGGAAAUAUCUUAUAAUUAAAUUACGUAUUUAAAACAAUGGACCGUAUGAGUACUAUCAGGCCCAAUAAAUAAAAGGCCCAAACCCUAAAAACGCCUGAGGGGGAGAAGCUGAUAACGAAAAUAAAAAGAAGCAUCAAUACGCUUCUCCGCCGCGUUCGUUCCUUCAUUCUUUCUCACACAAACUCUCUCCCUCUCUCUCUCUCUCAGGUAACGCUUCUUCAAUUUUGUCUCUUUCAUUUCAAAUACUCCUUUCUCAUCUCACUCCUCUGGUUACGUAGCCUCCGCCAUUGAUCGUUUGCGUCUAUUGUGCAGCCCUACUAACAACCAUCCUAGCUUUUACCGCGAAAGAUUCCGAGAGUGAUGUUGAGCUUGAGGCCAGGAGGAGGUCGUGGAGGAAGCAUCUUCGCCCCACGCUCUGCCUUGUCUUCCUCUUCCUCCUCUGAUCUUACCAAUGCCGAAGACGCUCCUUCUUUUGCCGUUAAGGUUGUUCAUUCGUUUGCUCUUCUUCUAGAACUUUUAGCUGUAAAUUCGAUUCCGUUUUUUAUUUCUCUCGUUUUGGAUUGAAUCUGAGUUUUGGAAUCUGAGACACAACAAUGCAAUGUCCUAAUUCUUGGUGGGGCGCUUAAGCAAUGCGGCCUUGCUGUAAAUAUGGACAGAGAUUGAUUACUUUUUAGGUGGGCACUCUUUUAAGUUCUUUGAUGCUCAUAAAGGACCCUACGUACAUGUUAUUGAUUUGAGAACACAUGCGUGUUGAGUCUAGCCAUGUUUUUAAUUCUGAAGUUGACGUUUUAAUGGAUUUUUUUUUGUUUUGUAGAGAGGAGACUCGAGAUUUGAGGGUCAUGAGAUUGUGCGGUUCACUCGCGAACAGCUUCUUCAGCUUAAAGAGGUAGACAUGCGUCCCUUUCUUUUGUUUUCUUUUUUUUUUUGUGUUUGUUCAAAUAAAUUGUAUUGCUCUGGUUUAAAUAUUCGCUUAGUUAUUCAUCAUUUUGGUUCUGCAGGGUAGCCAAGUCUCUGAUGAAGUUCUGAAGCUCGGUAAGGAUAUUGCAUCUGAUCUUUUUGGCGAAGAGCAGAGCUGGGGCCGUUCGGAAAACAAGGUGACUGUCUUACUGCUUUGUUGAAUGCUUUGCGAGUUUUCUUGAUUAUGUCAAUUGUUUCAGAUUAAUUUUUUUUAAUUCCCUUUCUUGUUUACUCUUUUCAGCCUGCAGCUCAAGUUCAAAACCGUUACUCGGAGACUGAUAACCGUGAUUGGCAUACUCGUGCACCAAUUCCUUCCCCGAGUAAAGACAGGUCAAGGGAGGACCAACGCGAAUCUAGAGAUGCGUAUUCUGGAUCAAUCCAAGGGGUGAGUGUUGACUUCUGACAUUUUAUUUUUUGACAAUAACUUGGGUUGCUUUUAGGUGGUUAUUGCUUGUAACUAACGUCAUAACUUGCUGAAACAGUCUGGCCCUCCUCCUGCCCUUGUGAAAGCAGAGGUCCCAUGGUCAGCUAAAAGAGGAACUCUUUCAGAAAAGGAUCAAGUUCUCAAGACCGUGAAAGGGUAUUGCAUUCUUCAUUACUUUAUCUUUGUGUGUUGGGGUUAUUUGCUUUAUAUAGUUGAUUGAGUCUUAUAGUUCUGCUUCUCUGCAGUAUUCUGAACAAGAUGACUCCUGAGAAGUAUGAUCUUCUUAAGGGUCAACUAAUUGACUCUGGCAUCACAUCUGCGGAUAUUCUAAAGGUAUCUCCAGUUCUGUCUGCAUUAGCUUGUUUGUAGUGAUCUCUUCAUGGCAUGAUUUGGUUUUAUUCUUAAAUUUCAGGGAGUGAUCCAGCUGAUUUUUGAGAAGGCCGUACUAGAGCCCACAUUUUGCCAGAUGUAUGCUCUUUUGUGUUUUGAUAUCAACGGAAAGCUGCCUUCGUUCCCAUCAGAGGAAGCCGGAGGAAAAGAAAUAACAUUCAAAAGAGUGCUUUUGAAUAAUUGCCAAGAACAAUUUGAAGGCGCUGACAAGUUGAAGGAAGAAGUCAGACUGAUGACUGAUCCAUCGCAAGAAAUGGAGCGCAAGGACAAGGAAAGGAUGGCCAAGCUCAGGACAUUAGGAAACAUCCGUUUAAUUGGUGAACUUCUGAAGCAGAAGAUGGUGCCUGAGAAGAUCGUUCAUCACAUCGUCCAGGUAUUAUUAUAACUACUCACGCUCUGCUUUUGUACCGCUAAAAGUUAGUUUCAUGUAAUACUUUUUUCUGUAGAGCUCAUGGUAAGUUUGUGUCUGGUCGCAGGAGCUUUUAGGAUCCGACGAUAAAGAUUGCCCAGCAGAGGAAGAUGUUGAGGCUCUUUGUCAAGUUUUCAUCACCAUUGGAAAACAACUCGAUGAGAGCCUAAGAUCACGAAGCAUAAACGACAUGUACUUCACCCGUUUGAAGGAACUAGCAGUGCACCCGAUGUUAGAGCCACGCUUGAGAUUUAUGGUCCGUAAUGUUGUUGAUCUGCGAGCUAACAAGUGGGUACCAAGGCGUGAGGAGGUAAGAAUUUACAGAGCUCGUUUCUAUAUGUAAGAGAUUUAUCUAUGUUUGCUUAUGUUUUGUUCGUGCUUUGUGAAAUGGCAGAUGAAAGCCAAGAAAAUCACUGAGAUUCAUUCAGAGGCAGAAAAGACUCUUGGGUUGCGCCCUGGUGCAAUGUCGAAUAUGAGGAAUAACAACAGCCGCGCCGGUGCGGAUGCUGAUAUUCUUGGCUCUGGAAACUUCCUUGGACGCUCUGGCAUUGGAGGAAUGAUGCCUGGUAUGCCAGGGGAACAAGUCGCUGUCGGUUAAUUCAAGGCUCCUACCUCAGGGAAGCGGUGGUAUCUUGAAUGGUAAACCAAGUGCCCUAUUGCAAGGCAACAGUGCUGAACCGGCUAAAGCUGUUGUUGCCCCGGCCAAACCAGCCGUGGAGAAGCCACAGCCACAGGUGGCGGCUCCUCCUAUGGCUGCUACUAGCUUGAACUCAGAAGUGCUCAGCAGGAAGACCAAGUCGCUUUUGGAAGAGUAUUUCAAUGUCCGUCUGUUGGAUGAGGCAUUGCAAUGCGUAGAGGAACUGAAAUCCCCAUCUUACCAUCCCGAGCUCGUCAAGGAAGCUAUCUCCCUCGGAUUGGAGAAAAACCCACCGUGCGUUACACCAGUUGCAAAUCUCUUGGCACAUUUGGUCUCUAAGAACGUUCUAACUCCUAAAGACAUAGGGAGUGGUUGUCUGCUUUACGGGUCUAUGCUUGAUGACAUUGGAAUCGAUCUGCCAAAGGCGCCAAACAACUUUGGGGAGAUCCUUGGGAGUUUGGUUAUGGCCAGUGCGUCUGGUUUCGAGGUGGUCAAAGAGAUUCUAAUGAAAAUGGAGGAUGAGUGGUUCAAGAAAGCAGUCUUGGAUGCUGUGAUCAAGAGUGUAAGCGACUCUCUGUUGGUUACGCAUGCAGCUGAUGUCGAGGCGUGCCGUAGUUUGGUGUAGAUCAGUUUAAGACCCCAAACUCGCUGGAAAACCAGGUGAGAUCUUUCCUCAAAACCUUUUCUAAAAAACUUGUUGAGUUAAUACCAAUACUAGUCAUCGAGAUUAGUUUCAAUCUUGAUACAUGGUUUUGUUUUUCUUUAUUUGUGUAUGUUCUCUUUGGUGCUACAUCUUGGUUUUGAUUAGUUCAAGAUGCGCAAGACGUUGAUACUAUUGUUUAAUGGUAGUGUUUUAACAUUUGUGGAAUGAAAUUUUAUUUUUAAUAAAGCAUGUCAUUUAAACUAAUAGAAAAUGAAAGCUUGUAAUACACAGACCAAGUUAUGACCAAGUAAGAUAUGGAACAUGACAAAAUUUACGUGGGCAGUUCGAGAUUACACUCUCAUGAACGUGACAAAAUGUAUGUUGAAAGCUCUCGAUAUUCCAAUUUUUUUUUUGGUUGUGUGCACGAAGUUGAGGGUGAUUCUCACAAAUCUCUAAAUGCCAUUGCAAACAUUGGCUAAAUUAAUGUUACGAGUUGAGGGUGACCUCUCCUCAAACCUAGACUUUGGAACAUUUUAAGCCGAACCAGCCAGAAUCUAAUGUUACGAGUUUAAAAAUCAUUCGUCUAAAUUAGUAAACUAUUGCACGCAAACGGCAUGUUCUAUUAGUAAUAAAGAAGAUUGAGACUUUUGUGGAAAAAGUAUGAAAUCUGUAAUGUUUGAGAUCUAAAAAGUCUAAUGAAAGAAACCAGCGCGAGUUGGACUAGUGGUCUUGAGGGAGAUUCGGCCCCGAUACGGAUUCGGCUUCGAUUCACGUUGGCCACCAGGGAAUUUACAUGCGGACUUGCUCUAGCGUCCAAGACCGAACACCGCUGCCUGGCCAUGACCCACCCUCGGGUGAGCGCCGCUAAGGAUUCGGUCUCUAGUCUGGACCACCACGGUGGAACCAGGACACUCGGUUACAAAAAAAAAAAAAUCUAAUGAAGAAAGACAAGGACUGUAUAACGUGACUGUGUCACUGUGACAUGUGCAUUGUAAUCUAUGUUUUCUCUAUUUGGUCAACUGGGCCGGCCCUGAUAUAAAAUAAAUAAUUGGGCCGCUUAUUUUUAUAAAAAUGUAGUAAACAAAAUGUUCCUGCUACAUUGUUACACAUUCACCACUAAGGUUAACAAAUAAUGUCGCACAAAAAAAAAAAAAAAAAAAGGUUAACAAAUAAUUAGAGAGAAAUGUAGUACUCCUAGGGGUUCUCACUUGAAAACUCAUGACGGUCACACUUUCUCAAUUCUACUAAUGGAAAAACUAGAUUUGAUCUUGAGAUGUUUGAAUCUACUCAUCAACUUUUGUACCAAUUGGUUCCUUCAGAUUAGUAGUUCACGUGCUUUGAUAACUUUUCUUAUAAAUAUCCAAUUCUCAAAAGUCAAAAUGUUUAUAGAUAAAAGUUAAAAGCUGUUUGAAAAAGUGCCUUUUGGUUCGGACACAAAAAUGUCUUGAAGUGAAACUCUUGUUAGUUCACAAGCAAGGCCGGCUUAUGAGGGAGGGCGGUCCUGGGGCCCGCUCCAAAUCAAGUUAUAUUUAAAGGCUUUGGCACGUUUGGUUUAGAUUUACAGUAUGAAAACAUAAAUAUUACAGAACUUUCUAACUGAGAAAUCAAAUAGAAAUACUUGUUUUAUGUUAUAUGUGAGUUGAAAAACUCGAGAAGGAAACAUAAUAUCUGAUAUCUACCUAAUUUUGGGCCCCAUUUUGCCCGUGGGCCUCCGGUAACGUUAAGCCGGCCCUGUUCACAAGAUUCUCUUUCUCUUCUAUUCCUCCCCAUUCUCUUAUCCUCUCUUCUGCCAGUGCAGCCUACAAACAUAUCACUCAACGGAUUAGAACAAAUAUUCUUUUUUUAUAUUUUUUUGAAAAUGAUUAGAACAAUAUUCAGUGAGUAGUAUCUUGUUUACUAACUCUACUAUGUCUUUUGGUUCUUCACUUCUUUGUCCCAAUUGGUUUUGCAUAUCAUCCAAGUCAAAACUAUCGACUGAACAAAUGUUCCCGUCAUCAUCCCCCACCAGAUUCCCUGAUCGAUAUAAUAUGUUUCCAUAAAAUCAAAAACUCUGGUCUUUUGUCCCAUUUAUUAAGGGUUUUAGAAAGGAUGUGGAAUUUCAUCUAUAUUUUUAAAAGAGAAGUACCCAUUUGAAAAUGUUUUUACUUCAUUAAUUAAACUCUUUUUUUUUGCUUGUCUUUUUCAGUUGCAUUUAUGAAAUAUCCAUAAACGAAUAAAACUGCCUAAUUUAUUACUUGUCUUUCCGGUUACAUAAAUGAAAUAUGCUUAAAUGAAUUUAAACUUCCUAUUUUAUUGUUUGUCUUUUUCAGUUACCUUAAUGAAAUAUCCUUAAAUAAAUUUGGACAUAAUGUCAUUUAAUCAACCAAAAAACUCAUGAGUUAUCCUUACGUGCAUAAUUUUAAUAAUGGAGAUUUUUAAGAACGUGCAUCAUUAAAAUGUUACCUAAAACAUGCAGCACUAAUAUAUAACAUGCAUCAAUAAAACUAGAAUUUGACUCACACAAUUGUACAGAUAUUAUUUUCAGUUGAUUAAAUUUAAAAAUAAUUAUUUAUUCAAAAAAUAUUUAAGAAUGGCUAUGUUUUUAAAAAUUAUAUGGUAUUAUUUGCUCAUAACUCAUUUGUCAUUUGAUAAAUUGUUAGAAAAAUUUUUUUAGCAUAAUAUAACUCAGUUGUCAUUUGCUAAAUUUAUGGUUUUUAUUUAUAUUUUUUAAUAUUUAAUUAUAAUAUUUUCAUUUUAUAUUUGAAAGAUAAAUGAAUUUUCUUUCAGACAAUAUUUUUGUAAAUGUAUUUUUUAAAAAAUAAUCAAUUAGAAUUGUUAUUAUCAUUGAAUAUCAUUAUUUUUGACAUAAUUUGAGUUUUCGUUUACAUCAAAACUUAUCAUAUUUUAGGAUAAUUUUCAUUUAAAAUUUAAUUUUCAUAUUUUUCAAACAAAUUCUAAAAAUAUUUUUUAAAUAUUUUGUUAUAAUUAUUAAAAAAAUAUUGAGUUGCAUUUCAAAUAAAAAGGUAAAGAUAUUAAAAAUAUUCUAAUUAAAAUAUGUAAAAUUUAAUAUAGUUUUAAGGAAAUGGUCAAAAUAAAAAAAAUUACACAUAAAAUAAUCAUGAUUUUUGUUAACAGGACGGAUCAUUAUUUAUAUGAUAUCGCACACGAAAGAAAAAAUUAUGUUUUUAAAAUUAUCUAAUUAACUCUAUAUUCAUUUUUUUUUAUUUUAUAUGAUAUCACACAUUCGUAAAAAAAAAUAGAUAGUUUAAGAUGCAAAAAAAAAAAAUUUACUUAAUGAAUAUACUAUGAACGAAUAUUACAAAUACAUCAUUUAAUCAAAUAAAUAAUUAAAAACUAAAAAUUCAUAUCCGCGCUGGCGCGCGGGUCAGGGUCUAGUUACCGUUACUCCAUAUAUAUUCAAGCUUAAAUCCCAACAACAGACCAAACGGGACUCCAAACAUGUAAUAGCAAGAUAUGUUCACAUACGCAACAACCGCUUGCCAUCCCGCUCCCACAGCCACUGCGUAACCAAGUUUUAUUUACCAUAAUUAAUGUCACAUCCAACAAAAAUUUAAACUCCAUAUAAAAUUAACAUAUAAAUGUCAUUAAUCCAUUUCACUUGAAUCCAGUUAAUAUUGAGUUACAAGUUUAUGUAGUAUUAGAGUUCAAUAAGCAAAUGUCAGCAAUCAUAAAAAUGUGAUGAGAAACUACCAGACAAGACAGGCUGUUGAUGACAAUGCAGAAGGCAAGCAUUGGUGUGAGUUCUUUAACUACAUUCCUAACCACUUCAUCUUCCGCAAACAAAACCGGGUACUCGUCUUGGAAGAUGAGUAGGACUGCGGCUAUAGUCAUUCCCAUCACUGUCGAUAAUAUCACGGCAACAACUAGUGAGAACUUGGCCGCUCUUGGGUGGCUAGCUCCUAGCUAAUUUGACACUCUCACACUGCCAAAACAAAACAAGAACGUAUUUUAUUAGCUUGGCACUUAUAAGAUGUGUUGAAGCUGCAAAGAGUUAGUUUUCACACACGUGGUUACCUUAAUGCAGCGUUUAUCCCAACUGAAACCAUCGCAGCCCAUCCCACAAUGUUCAUGCUUCAUUUUAGAAGGUAUAUAGUUAGAGAAUAUUUUGUAAUGAAAAUCUAUUCUAUUAAAUUAGGAUCAUGACGACCAAUUGAUACUGUUAUGUCCAAUCUUAUAUAUUAAAACAGAAGUUACAACUUUGAUUCAUGUGUGAUUUUUUUUUAAAAUAGACCUAUUGGACAUAUUCCUAGAAAGUCAUGUUAUAUUUAAUCUCUAAUUUUAUCAUUUAAUCUCUAAUUUUAUCAUUUAAAUUUUGGACUUACAUAAAUUUUUAUUGGGCUAUCAAUAAUUGGAUUUAAACAAUAGAUGAUCCAUUGGAUUUAUAGACAGUAUAAAUUAAAUAGAUAUAAUUUAAUGUUGUAAUAUUAUACCUCCAUAUGUUAAAUAUUUAAAUAUUUGUCGAUGUUAACUUUUAAAAUUAUAAAGAUUUUUUUUUAAAUAACAAAAAUCAUAUUAUCUAACAAUGAUUAAUCUUUACUACUUUAAACCAAUGAAUUUUUUUAAAACUAUAUAGUUUAUUUUUAAAAUUAAACAAAAACUAAAUGUUUAAUUAUUUACUCGAUAAUAUAAAUUUAUGACAAUACAAUAAUAUUUUACUAAUCUUUAUAUAUAUAGUUACGAUUUUGAUAAUGAAAUAAUAAUCCGAAAAUAUUUAUAUAGAAGAAGAUACAAAUACAUGUGAAAUCUUGAAACAAUCUAUUCAAUAAAAAAAUAUACCGUAUGCUUAUUAUGUUUAAAAAAUUGAUAGACACAUCCCCUAUAUAUUAUUUGAGAAGCAUUACAACUUUUUUUUAUAGCCACAUGUCAUCACUAGGAUGAUUCUUAGAAUCCCCUAUAUAUUAUUUGAGAAGCAUUACAACUUUUUUUUAUAGCCACAUGUCAUCACUAUGAUGAUUCUUAGAACCAAUAGAGAAAUAUGUUGUUCCAUCUAAUUAUAUAAUAAGCGUUUUAUUAAAUUAACAAUAAAUUCAUCAUUAAUGUACUUUAUUAUUUCCUUAAAUAAAAUUUACGGAAUUGUCUAAUGUAGCUAAAGUAUAUAUGGCAAUUAAUGAUUUUGAAUAAUAAAGAUUUGAUAAAAAAAUAGUGUAUCUUCUAUCAUAUUUAUUUAAUUUUAUACUAUUAAAUAAAUUAAACAACCAUAAUAACCAUAUAAUAAAAAUUUAGAUUUUUAUGUAUAUGUUAUAAUUUAAAUUUUUACAAACGGCUAUAAAUUACUAAAACUGUUAAAAGUCUCACAUUCAAAUUUUAUGAUCCAUGGUUUAAAUUUUUUUUUAUGACAAAAGGCAAAUGAUUAUAAAAAUUAUAUAAGUAAAAAGUCUUUUAUUAAUUAUUUAGAUUAAUAUAUAUAUAUAUAUAUAUAUAUAUAUAUAUCGUUUUAAAUUAAACUAUAAACCAUAUAAAAUACAAUAUUUUAGUUUCAAAAUUUACUUUGAACAAUUUUUUUGAUAAAAGUUUUGAACGAUCAUUGACAACUUAUUUUUUUUUAAAUGAUAAAUUACUAAAACUAUUAAUCCUACAAUAAAAAAAAAAUUUAUCAGUAAUUUAAUUUUUUUUCUAUAAAAGAUACCAAUGAUAAAAAAAAACUAUAUGAGUAGAAGUCAUCAUUUAAUAGACAUUAAUAUUAAAAAUAUACUAAAAUAUAUUAUCUAUGUUAGUAUCAUUUAAAUUUAAUUACAUAUCCUAUCAAAUAUAAAAAAAAAGUUUGGAUUAAUAAAAUUGAUUUAUAUGUGCAUAUCAAUUUAAUUAUAUAUUUAAUAGUUACUGACUUUUAAUUAUUUAAUAUAUAUUUAGUAUUUCAUAAUAUGUAAAAAUAUUUAAUAUAUAAAAUAAUUUAUAUAUGUAAUGUUUAUCCCGCGCCUUCCUAGUAUAUAUUAUAAUAUAUACCAAUUUAGAAUUGAAAACAAAAUGUUUAUAUAAAAAUAAAUUAAAACAAAAAUGAACGAGAUCUAGUUAUUUUAUAUCACAAGUUCACAACUCUAACUGUAUGUCACCUACUAACUAACUAUGCACGUUUAAUAUCUUUAGUUCCAAAAUAAUCAAGCCCAUUUCUUCGUAUUUUAAUUUGAAAACCUAACAUAUUUUUUCCCACGUCAAUAUCCUGUACAUGAAUCUUCUGCAUAGGUUAAAUUAUUAUUUUAUAGGGAUACAUAUACUUGUUUUUUUAGUUUGAAUAAAUAUAAACACCAAUCGGUUGCCUUCUUCUACCAUGUAUGUAAAGGAUAUAUUGUCAGAAUAUAAAAAUUGGAGAUUAUGAUCCUGUAAGAUUGUAAUGCAGUGGUUAUAUUUUUUUAUAAACUUGUACCUGAUUGAGUUUAAUUUGAAUAUAAAGAUGGUGCAAAUCACAUUUAACGAAUUUUAAACAGGUUAUUCAAUUAAAAAUAUUUAUUAUAUCUGAUUUUACAUAAAUUUAGUGAAGACUAUAUUAACCCAUUUACACACACACAUAUUAUAGAAUAUAUUUAAAAAAAAUACAACUUUUUUUUUGUAAAAAUUGUUUGGUUUUCGGUGCGACUUGGAUUUUAUAUCAACUUUGGAUAUAACAUUUCAAGAACCAUUCGAAUAUAUAGGUCAAGUGUAGUAUGAAACUUUGAUUUUCGGGUCGAUCCCGAGUCAGAUUUUUUGGAUACGAAUAUUUUUUACUAAUUAUGAUAGGUAACUAAUAAGAAAAUAUAAUACGUUGCAAACUUUAAGAAUAUAACUUAAAAUAAUUUCUAAAAUACAUAUGACACAAGUGUAUAGUUAACAACUUAACAUAUUUAAUAUAGUUACCAAAUAUUAUAUUAAAUUAACAUUAAACCAAAAUAUGAUUACAAAAAAAAUUACAUAAACAUAAAAAUUAAAUUUCUUAAAAAAAAUUAAAACAAAAAAUAUAUCCGCCCUUUUAAAAAUACAGGUCAAAAUCUAGUAGAGAAAUUAGUUUCGAAUUGCCUAUUCAUUAUUAUAAUUUUAUAUUACAAGUUAAUGAAUAAACGUGUGUGUAUGUCAGUGCAGUCCAGCAAAAUAACAUUAUAAACUAUCGUAUGGAAAAAUAUUUAUAUUAUUGAUCGAAUUAAUAUAUUUGGCCCUUAAACAAUUUUUUUAAAUUUUUUUUGUUAAUUAUAUAAUUUGUUUACUAAUGAACUGAUCCCAUUUUUAAAAAUAUUUUAGGUCAAAAAAUUAUUUAUCGCAUAAAAACCUAAUGUUUAGGCUGAAAUAUCUCAUGACUAUUUUUUGGUUACAAUGAAACUAUGUCAGCUUGGUUUUAUAUCAUGAUUUAGCAAUUUAAAAGUUAAUUAUGGUUAUGAGAAGUUUACGUUCACAUGUCAAUCCUAUCUAUCAAUAUUUUUUUGCUUUUUGUGUCAUUUGUUUCUUUUCUUUUGGCCUCAGAUUUAAAAAAUAUUUAAAAUUCAAAUUUAUUAAAGAGAUACAUACUUAGGUUAAGAUAUGCGCCUUGUGCAUAAUAAAUAUUUAAUUUAUAUUUUUUUGCAUAAUAUGAAACAAUAAAAUAAUAAUAAUAUAUUAAAUAACUAAGAAAUCACUUACUAUUAUGUAAUAAAUUUCCUUGCACGUAUAAAUCAAAUGACCGCUCUUGUUUAUUCGCAACCAUUUUAGAAUAGAUAAAUCAAAACAAUCAAACUUAUCUAUCGUAUAUGAUAUAUAAUUAAAUUUAAACUAUAUGAAGUAUAUAUAUAUAUAUAUAUAUAUUAACAUAAGCACCUAUUAAAAUUAAAUUAUUUAUUUAUAUAAUUUUAUUAUCAUUGUAUCUUAUUAUAAAAAAAAUUAAAUAUUGAUCACAAAAGUUUAUGUGAGACUUUUAGUAAUUUAUACUCGUUUUGAAAAAUUCAAAAUACAACAUAUACAAAAAAAUCUAAAUUUUUAAUAUAUGAUUAAUUUAAUUGUGUAAUUUAUAUUAAUAGUAAAGAAUUAAACAAACAUGAUAGAAAACAUACAGAUUAUUAGCAAAUAUUCAUUAUUUAAAAUCAUUAAUUACUAUAUAUAUCAUAAUCACAUUAGGUAAUUGCGUAGGUUUUAUUUAAGGAAAUUAUAUAUAAUAAAAUAAUCACAUUGCUUUAGUUAGUAUCCCUGUUCGAAAACGCGGGUACUACGGGUGAUUAGUCGGCGAGGAGGCGCUCGGCGGUGCUUGGCCGUGGCGAGUUGGCUGUAGUCGGCCAAUUAAUCGGCAACAACAAAUUUUUUUUUUUUUUGGGUUUUGAAUGCUUAAAAUCUUGUAUUUUUAUGACAGAUGUAUAAGUUUUAAGUAUAAAAACAUGAAAACGCACCAAAAUCUGAUGUUAUGUGUGAUUAUAAACGUUUUACGGCCAUGGAAAACCUGUAAAAUUGAAAACCCUAAAGGCAGAUGGGGAAGAUGAAGACGAAAUGACGAUAAUACCCUUCAUUAAAGGCAAAAAAAAUUAAAAAGAAGAAAAACACGUGGAUCCAGGGUCGAACCGGGGUUUCUUACGCUGGGCAAAGAUUAUGUAACCACCAGGCUACUUCAAUUAAUUGUAUAUUGUCAUGCAAAUUGACUAAUGAUGCAUAAUAUAUUUAUAAAAAUAAAAAUAAAAAUAAAAACUAGGUCCCGAUUAAUCCCCGAUUACUCCCCGAUUAAUUGUUAACUCGCUAGGCCCAUAUCGUCCGCCCGACUAGCGCCUACCGUAGUUUCGAACAGGGGUUAGUAUCAUAUGAUAUCAUAUAAUUGGUAUUAAAUGUUUCUAGUGAGAUAUAAAAAUCGAAUUGGACCAACAUGUUUUUCAAUUUCAAUGUGAGGUUUACACGUAGGAUUAAUUAAUUAUCUAACUGAUUGACAUGUAAACAAUGAGUUUUUUUUAAUUAUUACAAAAUUAAGGUUACAUUCUUCAAUUGAUAUAUAGGGGAUGUGUGAAAUACUUAAUUUGAAUAUUAGACUUAUUGACCACAAAGAACAAAACAUGUAGACUACUACGCACGUUGUUUCUACCUUGGUUUAGAGAAUCUUUGUGAUUAUUUAAGUAAAUUAAUUCAAAAAAAAAUCAUGUAUGCUUAAGUCGUGAAAAAAUGAUUAGUUUAAGAAAAAUGUUAGUUAUGUUUUAAGAAUAGACUAGAUUUUGACCCGUGCAACCGCACGGGUGUUUGUUUUCACUUUUCUAUACAUAAAUUAUUGUUUUAGAACAUAAGUGGUAUAUAUUUUUAAUGUUAAUCAUAUAUUUAAAUAUUUAUAUAACUAUUUCAAAUACAAUAAUUUUAUAAUUUACAUGUUAUAAUUAAUUAAUUGUUUAAACCGUAUGUAUUUACCACUUCUUAUUAUAUAUUAUUGUAUUUGUAUUUAGUUAUUAAGCAAAUUAAUAUAUUAAUGAAAAAAUAUAUUUAAAACUUAUUUUAUAUUUAAUUUAUGCUAAAUUCUGACCCGUCUUUCAAAACUGGAUUUCUUUUUACCAAUAUUUUUAUGCUUAUUCAUUUUAAAAGUCUAAGAUAUGUUAAUUUUUAGACAUGUAUUAUAUAGUUUGUUAAUUUUAAGCUGUUCUAUCAUCAUAUUAUAUUUUAAAUAAAUAGUUUAUAUUUAUGAAAAUAAAAUUUAUAAAUUUAUCAAUUGAAUAUAAUUUUAUCAUAUUUAUUUUAGUAUAAUAAUUAUAUUUUAACAUGAUCAUGACUAUAAAGUAAAUAAAAUAUGAUAUAAUUAUUUAUUUUCAUUUUUAAACGAUAACUUAAAUACAUUAAGUUAUUGCUUAAAUAUUUUUUACACAGAUUUAUUAGAAUUUUUAAAAUAUAAUAUAUAAAUAUAUAUUAUAUUUAAAAUGAAAAUAUAUUAUGAGUAAAGUAGUUACAAAAUUUUUAUAUUAUUAACUUUAAAGAAAUACAUGUUAAUUUUUAUACAUGUAUUAUAUAGUUUGAUAAUUUUAACCCAUAUUACCAACAUAUUAGAUUUUAUUUUUGAACAUAAAUAUUUUUAUAAUUACGAAAAUAAAAUAUAUAAAUAUAUAAAUUUAAUACAAUUUUUUUAUAUUUAGCUCAAUAUAAUAAUUUUAUUCUAAUAUGAUUGAUUAUGAUUAUAAUAAAUAAAAUAUUUAGAUUUUUUAUUUUUUAUUUUAUAUAACUGAAUAUAUUAAUGUAUAAUAAUAUUUUAAACUAAUUUCGAAAUUAGCAAAAAUAUUUAAAUAUAAUUUUGAAAAUGAAGAUCUUGUAAAAAUCUUUUUAAACAGAUUUGUUAGAAUUUUAAAAUAAAUAUAUUUAUAUUUAAAAUGAAAAGAUAUCAAAAGAUAUUAUGAUUAAAAUAUUUUAAAAAAUUCUAUUUAUUAUUAGUCUGAACUAAAAUGUAAUAUGAAUUUCUAUGAAUAGGUUCAUUAGGUCCAUUUUUAAAAAAAUCACACAUGAAUCAAGGUUGUGACUUCUGUUUUAAUAUAUAAGAUGUAUACUAAAUUUUACCUUAUAGAGAGUGCAGCUACGGAGACUUCAGCAUUCUUCAAAUUUCCAGCAAAUAAUAUGAGUGCCAUGAAAUACCAAAUCUCCAAACUACAAAGGUAAUAAUAUAUUAAAGGGUUGGAUCAAGUCUGGACCAAACUAACCGGGAAAACCGGUUUGAAACUCACCAAAGCAUGACAGCAGAAGCCAAAGACAAUUUGACGAAACCCCACAAAUUGUGAAAAGCCUCCCACGUGAAUCCAGACCAAGCUUCUCCACAAGUACCACUAAAAAUAUACACGAAUUGUGCCACAACAAUGAACCACCACGACUUGUUAAGCACAAAAUCUAAACCGGGAAGUCCCCAGUGUAUAACUUAGACAUGACUACCGAACCAGAAUUUAACAUUGCAUUUUUGGGGCUGUGGACGUCGGUAGCUGGACACUUCGGUAAAAUCAAAAAAAAAAAAACUUAGACAUGACUAGCCAUGCAUGUUAGCAACGUGUGGAUCACAAGAGCCACACCAGAGAUUGCUGCCAUGACCAUGAUCUUGCUUUGCGACUGCAAAAACUUUGCGGUAGGAAAAUUUAUAGCAUAGGCAAAGAUCUGUGGGAUCAUGUAGAUGGAGAAAACUCCAGCCAUGGCCGAGAUCGCCGCGGUUUGGCAUAUGAAGGUUAGGAUUGGAGCGGCGAAGAUAUAGAGCAGAGAAAGGAUGAGAGCGGUUACGGUUAGAAUCACCCAUGAACGUUGUAAGUAAACGCCAAACAUUGAUAUUUUGCCCGCUCCAAACGCUUGUCCGCAUAGCGUUUCCAACGCGCUUCCCGUUCCAAGCUAGCCACGUUUGCAAUUGCGCCAUACAUGGAUUAAUAGACGUAACAGCAUCAUCAAUGGGUAAACACUAAAUAAGUUUCUAAAUUAACUUUUUGGAAAAUCUAAUUAUAUAUUUAUUUUUAUUUUAUUUUAAAAUAAUAAUUGAAUCACUAUAUAAGUGACAUAUGCAUGAUGACUUGCUCAUAAAAUAUGUCUCUCUGAGAUAAAAAUCUCUCUACCUUCUCUCUUACUUUUUUUACUAUUUUUGUUUAUUUUAAUUGUGAGAGAUUAUGAGAGUUCAUGCUCUAAAAAUCUUUAUUUAUGACAUACUAUUGAUAUAGCCAGUAUGAAAUAACACAUCAACUUGUUCCCUUUAUAUAUAACUACUCUAGAUUCUAAAAUAAAUUUGAAAUUUAAUUAAUUUGCAAAACAUAGUUUAUACAUAAUACAUCAAUUUUACAUCUAUGCAAAUGAAAAACAUAGCUCAAAUGCACUAAAACUAUUACAAUGAUCGUAUGAUAUUUAACCUAAUAAUAAAUAGUUUUUGUUUUGUUUUCAAAUAUGAAAAAGGCAUACCAUGAUACCGAAGAAGAAACCGGCGAUGACAGAGUUCUCGAUGGAGACGGCGGCUAAGGCGAUGGUGCUAAUAUGUCCAGCGAAAACCUGAGUGAUGGCUCCGAGAGAGAAUUGAGCCAUCGAUGUGAAAAUGGCCGGGCCGGCUAGUUUCUACAGCUUCUUAGACUCAAUUCUAAACUCUCUGGCAAAGUCUUUGACGUUGGAGAACGGAGGGAUAUCAACGGCGGUAGAGGAGAAGGAGACAAGAGAAGAUGCUCUGCUUCCUACUCCUAGUUAAAUAAAAUUAAAUACUUACGGUGACACCUGCACACACGUUAAAUAAAAUUAAAUACUCCUAGUUAUGUAACCAACGACGAAUCGUUCUUCAAACCUGUAUUAUCAUAAUAUCCUAAAGUAAAACCUAUGAUAAAUGAUGUAUGUCUCCACAAUUAGACAAUCAUCCUGAGGUCUUUCAUUGCUGAUCAAUAACAUCCUAAUUCCGACAGCUUGAAAUCUUCCCUGGCUUGCGUGAGCUCAAAUUUCAUCUUCUCCGCAGAGGGGAUAGGUUAUCGGUGCGGGAGGACUUAGCAGAAAAAGGUCAACAGAGAAUUGUUUAAAAACAUCAGACGAAAAAAUACCACCAAAAAAAACCUUUCGUUUCCAAGUAAAUAGACUAACCGCUGAUAGCUUAAAGAUGUAAGAGCGAGAAAAACAUACAGUCUCCAACUAGAUUAAUGCUUGUAUUCAGGGGUACCAUUCAGACAGCCUAGAACGUCGAGAUUCUGCUUGAGAGAGGCCAUGACGUCGGUGAUGGGAGAGGAGUAGGAGGAGUUCAGGCGAGGUUUCUCGACGGAUGCGUUCACUGCUUUGGGAGUAAUUGGAGAAGAAGCGAAUCAAAGAUGGGGUUGUUGGGAGUCUUCGUUUGCGUCUGGCGGGAGGAAGCGCCAUGGGUUUUGGCUGCGGGUUGAUGAUGACGAGUUGACGACCAUGUUCGCAGAUUUACACUUAAUGCGGUUUAAUUGAAAUGCAAUGCUUCGGUUAUUGUUCAAGCGGUCAACCGAGUGCAAUUCUGAAACAAACCGGACGGCAUGUCUCGCGUGGCACAUUGUAAAGGACCAUUUAGAAGAACAAAACUUUUUACUUUUUACUCUAUUUUUUUAACGCCAAACCUAAAAUUUUAUUUAUCAUAGUACAAAAUUUAGAGUUAACCAAUCUAGAAAAUAAAAGUUACAAUUUAUGAAAACAUUAUUAAGUGAUCCUCAACCAAUCUUGAUCAUCAUAUCACUGUUAAUAGAUAUUUUGAAAAAUGAAAUCGAACUCGGCAUUUACAGAUUCCCAAUGUGUGACAUUUUCAAGCAGAUUGUUAACUGAAACAUUAGACCCUUUUUUAUUAAUGGCACGAACCAAAAUCAAUCUCUGAAUCCCCUUUAAAAUGAACAUUUGAAAAUCCCGCCGCCCAGACAUUUUGCAUUGCAAUGAUUAAACCAUUUUGUCUCUGGCCAUCACUUACAAUAGCUGAACCCUCACAGUUGAAUGUUUCAGAUCUUAUAGUUAAAUUUUGAAGUACUAUUCUCCUAAACCCAAGAUGACAAUCCAAUUGGCCCUUCUCCCAUUCUAUUGUUAAACAUGAUUGGGCUUCGAUGUAACUGAUCGAUACCAUGUCAGCCCAUUUUGUCAAUAUUAAUGUAAUCUUGUUGCCGACAAAAAAAAAAAAGAAUUGAUUGGAAAGCGUGCUGUCGGUGGUCCCCCGUAACGUGAUUUUUUGAGUAGUCAGUAAGGAAAAUAGACGUAACUUAAGAAAAACAUUUUUAUAAUAUCAACAAUUAUUAUUAUUCUUUUUUUUUUGUCUAAAAGUCAACAAUUAUUAAUUGUGAUAAUCCUACUUAUAAUAUUUUAAAACUAUAUAAUUCAAAUCUAUACCCGACCCGGACGAUUUACCGAAUCGUUGGAUCACUAGAUCGACCGCAGUUCACUCGCAGAUAAGAAAAUGAAUUAAUUUAUUUUUAUAUAAUAAUAUAUUAUCUAUGAAAAUAAAUAUAUAAAAACUAAAGUUUAAUAUUUUCUAAAUAUUUUUUAAAAACAUGAAAUAAUAAUUUAGAUAUGUAUAUAUUUUAUGUUUAAAAAGUAUUUUUUAAACUUUUUUUAUCGGUAAAUAAUUCAUUCAAAUAAAGCCAAACGGCUAGGUUCACAACCAAAGAAGAGUUCAAAAUCAAAAUAAGACAAAACCAUCAGUAGAUGUAUUAAAAUAGCAGGACCUUCAUGAGAAGACAAAGAAUAAAAACCCUUGACGCUCCGGUGCACCGAAGGUUCACUGAGCUUUAUUGUCCAGCUUGAGAUCUGAUCACUGAAGCUAGCCAACUAGGGCCACAUAUAAGACUGAUAACGCUUAAAAGUAUUUAGAAAACAUGUAAUUUUAGUUUUUAUAUUUAUAUUUUUAUUUGACAUACAAAAUAUCAAAAAAUUAUUUAGAUUAUUUAAAAUUUUAUGUAAUAAAGUAAGAGUUAUAAUAUCUAAAAAAUUAAGAUAUAAAAAUUAUAAAUAUUUAAAUAUCUAAUGUAAAUAAUAAACUAAACUUCAAAUUCAAAAUAAUCUAAAAGUUAAAGAUUAUUAUAAUAAAUUGUCAAUAAUGAAAAUAAACGAACACCAAAUCACAUCAACUAAUUUUGGUUUUCUCUACCAUCGUUUACUUCAUUUUCUUCGAGUAGCAUAGCGAAAUCUUCAUCAAAAUCUAAAAAUCACAAUAUAAAACUGAAAAAGAAAAACCUAACUUUUUUUAUCGGCACAUAACUUCUUAAUUGUAAACUUAAAAUAUAAAACAUAAUUUAAAAAUUAAAAAAAAAAGCUAUUUAUUGGUUCAACCGGUUUCAGGUUUUAGUGGGUUUUUGCGGGUUUCUAAAUAUUGAGUUUUUCACAAAAUUCACACUUGAUUUUUUUUGGGUCACGACCGCGGAUCCGGGUCGGGUUUCAAAACACCGAUAUAAACUCAUACACAUGAUAUAUAUUGAAGAUAUAUCUAUCUAUAAAAUAUUUUUCUGUACUAAAGAAGAGGUAUGUUGAAUGAGAUCUAGAUAAUAUAAUAAAUACAGACGCCUAAAAUGUGAGAUAUCAGAUUUAUGCCAUCAGGCAUUAAUUGUGAUAGCACAGGUUUUUUUUUUCUAGCAAGGCCGUAAUAAAUGUAAAAAGAUAUAGUAACGUUUUGGGAAAGAAGAUAUUGAGAGGGGCGUGAAAUCCGGGGAGAAUAAAUACAUUUGAACGCUCACGUAAUCUCUUUUAAAUAAAGUAAAUAUUUUUUUCAAAAUUGUAAAUUGUUCUAUUUUCUAAAUAAAUAAAUAAAUAAAUAUAUGAUAUUGUUUAAACUUAUAAACAUCUACUUUUUAAAAUAUAAUAAUUACUAGUAAUAGAUUACUCAGUAAACUAGAUCUUUUUCUUUUGCAUUAAAUAGAAAAGUAAGAAGAAGAUAAUCCUCCAUUUAGAAUGAUAAAUAUUUUGACAAAAAAACAAUGAUAAUUUAUAUAAAUAAAAAGUAUUAAAAAAUUACUAUUAUUAAAUACCGACGCGUAAGAUGUGAGAUUUACGAGAUGCGCCACCAGACAUUUUUAUCAAAAUAUCUGCUAAGUAAUAAAUAUAAAAGCACGGACGUUUCGGAAAGGCCGUAAACUCCGAGAAUUUACUGUUAUUUCCUCUUUUUAAACAUUGACCUAAUUUUAAAUGCAUGGAGAAGAUAUCGAGAGGAGCGUGAAUACGAAUGAACCGCUCUCUAAUACUAAUAUCUGGAAAGUAAUAAAUAUAAAAGCACAGACGUUGUUGGCAAGACCGUAAAAUCCGGGAAUUUACUGUUAUCUCCUCUUUUUAAGCAAAGUCUAUGUAGACGUAAUUUUAAAUAUAGGUAAUAAAUAAAAGAGACGUAUUAGGAAAUGGCAAGUAGAUAUUGAGAGGCGCGUGAAAUCCGGGGAGAGUUAAUACAUUGAACCCCUCACCUAAUCUCUUUUAUAUAAAGAAACAUCGAAGUGUUCGGUGCUUAACAUUUUCUUCUUAAGACUUAUCUAAGGUCUCACUUUUUAUCCUCUCUUUCUCUCUCUCUCUCUCUCUUAUUUUUUGGAUGUUGAUCCGAUUGAAUUUGUUUCUUUAUCUCUUUGAUGCUCAUCCGCUUGCCCGUUUCAUUGGAGUUAAGCCCCGCUUGCCGGUUUCAUGGGAGUUAUACCCUGUUCAUCCGCUUGCCCGUUUCAUGGGAAUUUGUUUUGUGCUUCAUAUUUUCUUCUUAAGACUUAUCUGAUGUUUCACUUUUUAUUCUCUCUUUCUCUCUCUCUCUCUCUCUCUCUCUUUUUUGGCUGGUUGAUCCGGUUUAAAUUGUAUCUUUUUCUCUCUGAUGUCUCAUCCGUUUGCCCGUUUCGUGGGAGUUAAGCCCAAACGAACAGGGUUUUAUUCAAUUGAUUAAUUCCAAACCCUUUUCAUUAAGAAACCCGGCCAUGAUAGUUUUAGCCCAUACCAAGACUCUUUUUUUUUUUUAUCGUUUUUUCACUUUUAGGCCCAUUCAUUUAUUUACCCUAGCCCAUGCAUAUAAAAUGAAAAACCCUUUUUCUAAACCUUUAAACCAUCUACGAACGGCGUCUGUUCUUGCCGAUCCACUUCUCAGUUCUUGCCGAUUCACUUUCGGUUUCACAGGUUCUUUCUGAUUCCGAUGUAUUUUGAAUCUUUUUGUUACUAAUUUUUAGAUUUGUUUUCUUUCUCCAUUGCUGAGUUUGAAUCUUAGAUAGAAUCUUUCCUAUGGAAUAUGGUUCUUACGCUUUUUUCUUUCUCUUCUUUUAAGGUUGUAUGGAUUUUUCAUGGAUCACGAGAAUGCCUCAUUUGCUUUUCCCCGCAAUGAGGCAAUUUGAUAUUUGUUGGGAGACAGUGUCCGUCAGACAUCUUGAGUCUGUCAUGAUGAACAUUUGUUUGAUUCCCCUCACCAGACAGGACAUCAUCGUCUACGUUCCCAAUGAUUGUUUCCUGUCGGAUGGACCUGCCAUUUGUUUAUCUGACAUAUCAGGUUUUUGUUACUUGCGAUUUUAUUUCUUUCUUCAUUGUUGAAUAUGGUGCUUGCUCAUUAACCAACCGUGUUCUCUUCUAUAGAUUCCAUGGAGUUUACAUGGUUAAAGGAAAAGCCUUAUUUGCUUUGUGCUGUUAUCAAACAAAUAAUGGCGAUUUGCUGGGCAAUAGCGUUUGUCAGACAGCUUGAAUCGGUGUUGAAGAACAAAUGGUUGAUGCCUCUCACCGAACACCUUUCAAUACAGGAUUUCAUCGACCGCAUCCCUAAGCGACGGCUUCGCUCGGAUGGAGCAGCCAUAAGUUUACGAGAGGUUGGUUUUUACCUUCAAAAGUUUGGAGUUCUCCUUGAAAGUGAAUGUCGUCUGGCCUCUCCUGAGCGUAUUUUUGGUGUCAUUAAUCGACGGGUAAGCAAUAUCCAAUAUCAUACAUGUCAUAAUUUUUUCCUUUGCUUAUUUAACAUUAUCAUUAUUUCCAGGAUAAACGUUUAAGGCGGUGCCCUAAGACAGUAGAAGUUCACUCCCUGCGUGUGUACCUUUACAAGUAUAAAGAAGAUGCUUUUAAGGGGUAUGGUAUCUUCCACUCUCGUCUUCAAACUCUGAUUAAAGAGAGUGGUCUUGUUUCAGUAAAUUUUUUGAGUUAUGAGAGCUACUGGCAAGAAAAAGGAAAGGUAAUGUUAGCUUUCAUCUAUAUUCAUUUUUUCUGGAUUUUAGCGUCUAAUCCUACUUUUUUUUUUCCUAUGGUAGGGUAUUUUCUUCCCUACUGACGAGGAAAUGAAUUCUCCUCUGCCGACAUGUGGAUAUGUAAUUCUCGCCGCAGGUUCCUCUCAUGAUGAGAAUGGGAACUUGUAUUAUCUAUGCCAAGAGUCCGGUGGCACUGAAUUUGGUUUUGAUGGCUACUCUAGAGUCUACGCAAAUUUAAUAAAUGCUUAUGUUGAGAUGUCUGGAACAACUUUGUGGCUUUGUCUUUACUUGGUUGAAUGGCUACUACUACUACCUCUCAUCAUUUUGUGAUGUUUUUUUUUUGGUUUUCAAGACUUGUCUACCUUUUGGAGAAUUCUGUUAGUCGCUUUGUGUUUUUUUUUAUUUGUCGGUUUAGUUCAGUCUUCUUCGGUUGAUGAAAUUGAUGGUUAAUGGUGCAUAUGGUGAAAUAACAAAACAAUGCGGCUUAGAGCGACACAAAAAUUAAUUAGAAAUAUAACAACAAACGUUUACUUCAAGACAAAAAGGUUUUGUUUAAUGUCGAUCAAUUUGUUUAAAACAUGCCUAUCCCAGGACUAUAAUACUCACUAAUCUAAAGCUGUUCCUUCUUUGUUAUUAGAUCUAGUCCAAAGUUAAAAUUUACGUGGGUUUUACAAAAAGAAAAUUUCUCCAAUUUUUUUUGUAUUAAUAGAUUUUAUAACUUUUUUUUUUGGCUCAAAUCAAAUGGUAGUCCUUAAACAUUAAACCGGACUUUGAAUAGACUAAAGUCACUAAUAAGACAACGAUAGCCCAAGAUAAUGUAUCUCUGGUUUGAAAACAAGUCACAUAGAUAAACAUACCCCUAUAGUUCUAAAUUAGAAGAACGUUUUCACUUUUGUUGAUUGUUCUUAGGGCCACCACAACAACGAGAGCAGCAACUCUUGUUACAAUUGUCUCCUCACUCUACUCUUCUGUAACAAUCCCACUUCUAAAUCCUUUUUUUCCGUCCUCUUCAAGCUUCAGUAGCGAGGGAGUACAAGACGAAGGAGAAGCACGGUAACAUGCACACACAGCUUCGCGCUCGUCAUGUAGAAGCAUCAUACUAUUGAGUAUCACAAGCAAACAAGUUCCUGCAUCUGCAAGAACAGCUGCCCAAAUCAGAGGGUAACCAGCAAAACCAAGCACCAUGAUCGCUCCUUUUAUGCUCACAGACAACACAACAUUCUCAAUCACUUUCUUAUGACUUCUCCUCGCUAGUCUCAUCCCUUCCUUAUGUCGUUGGACAUAAGAAUGAUAUCUCCCGUCUCUGUCGCAAGUGCUGAACCUGAGAUCCCCAUAGAAAUGCCAAUGUCUGCUUUAGCUAAGGCGGGUGCAUCGUUGAGUCCAUCUCCCACCAUCAUCGUAGGCCCUUAGCUCUUGAACUCAUCUAUGAUUCUUGCUUUGUCUUGUGGAAGAAGUUCAGUGUGAAGUGUGAACAAUAUCCAAAGCAUUCCCUAGCUGUAAUAAUGAUAAGGUUUUAAUUACAGUAUAGAAGUAUGCUAUCACACAAGCUGAUCUCUUAGAGUUCUUUGUCUUCUUCGAUCUCUUUUGAAAAUUGGUUGAGAGACAAAGAUCAGGUAAGUUUUGAGAAGACAAAACUAUUAACUUUUUCAAACAUCAAUCAUUAUUUUCUGGUGGUUUAUACAGGAAAUGCAUCAUUGACAAGAACUCUCAUGGAGUUUCAGCGCAUCUUUGAACUGAAGGUGAUAAUAGUACUCAGAUUCUCUAAAAACCAAUUAGGUUGAACACAUAGUGAUGUUCACAAUAUCAUCUGUUUGAAAGCCAUCUUUAAUACAUAGAAAUGUAUAUAUUAAUAUUUGGACUGCCGGACACUAACUCUGAACGGUUUUGUGGUGUUGAUGCAGGGUCUUAAGAAAGCUGAUCAGCAGAGCAUACUUGAUGAUUUCAACAAGCAUGGCCCAGGGUUUACAGAGCCCUCUGUUUCAGGGGCAAUGCCACAAGUGGUUCCAACCCACCUGCACUGCCGCUGGUAAUCACUAAUCUGGGUACAACAGCUAGGUUUAUAGAAAACAGCAAGGAUGUGUUGACGAGGCAGAAGCUCUUGACAGAGGAGCUGCAACCAUUAGCUUUAAUAAUUUCAUUGCACUUACUGAAGUUGCCAAAGACCUCAAAGAUGGAAGUUUAUCACAGUGAAUGCUUAACUCAUUCUCUCUCUCUCUCUCUCUCUCUCUCUCUCUCUCUCUCUCUCACUUUUAAAAGGACAAACAAGCUUUCUUCAGGACUUUCUUCACGUGGCUUAAACCAGAGGCUCAUCAGCGACUGCUGUAGGAGCUUGAAAGCUCCAUCUCCUGAGUUUUCAGAGUACAUCAAACAGAGAAGAUACGAUCUCCAUGAUGUUCAAACAUAUGGGAAGGUUUGUUUCCUUUGUCAAUGAUGUGUUUCUGUGUGUCAAAACUCUUUGUCAAAUUCUAAUCUCUGGAACACAAAUAUUCAUUGUAUAUGCUAAAGACGCAGGUUUUAACGAUGUGAUAUUAUGACCGUAUUUUGAUCAAGUUUGGCUUAUCUUUUUUUUUUUAAAUUACUACAUGAUAUAUACCUAUAAGAACAAAGUGAGGCCUGAGCCGUUCGGCCAAUCACUUUUUUUUGUAUUAUGAACCUUUUGGUGAUCCAUUUUUAUUAUUAAAAAUUAGCCUUUACUUUUCACAAAAAAAUCACGAAGUAUUAAUUCAAACAAGUUAAUUUCUAAUUUUAAAAUACAGCCACAUCCACUCAAAUAUCAAAUACAACAGUUCAACCCAAAUUUAACUACAAUCAAAUUAUAACUCACACUUUAAAAAGACGGAAAUAUAUAUAUAUUUUUUAAAAUAUAAUUUAAUAAAAAUAUAAGUUUUUGGGUAUAUGAUACUAUAUAUAAUUUUAUUUCUUUUUAUUUACAUAAAAUAUAAAAUUUAUAUUUAAGAUAUUAUUUUAUUUCGUAAUAAAAUGUUUGUUAAUUUAUAUUUUAUUUAAAAAUCUGAUAUCAAAUAUAUUAUAAAGUUGAAUGUCAAUUUAUUGAUUUUAACAUCUUUUUAUAUACAGUAUUUAUUAAAAUGAAAUUUUGUUAUGUUUAAAUGAAUGUGUUUUAUAUAUGAAAAUACAACUAAAUUAAUAUAUUAACUUAAUUUAUUUCAUAUUUUUGGUAUUAAAACCUGAAAAAAUGUUUUUAUAAAUCAUUUGAAUGUUAUUAUAAAUUUUAAAUUUAUCAAAUAAUUUGUAUCAAGAUUAAUAAGAAAAUGACUAAAAAUUGAAAUUUAAUGUUUUAUAUGGCAUGGACACAAAUUUAGUUAUUAUAUUGCUUGGUAACAGUAUUAUUACCUUUCAUGAAUUCAUUGUUUUUUAAUUAGUUACAUAAUUACUCAACUAUAUUUUAAUUUUCUUAUCAAAAAAGGGAACAUUUAGCUACAUAAUUUCAAUACAUCAACUGGUGGAAUAAAAUAACAUGAAAUUUGCAUUUGUAAAAUUUAAUUAAUAAAUAUACUUUAAUUUUUUUGGGAUAAAUAUAUAAUUCAAAAUAUAUAAAUCUAUAAAAUCCUAAAACUAAAAUUCUAUAAACUAAUAAAAUAUUUUAAUUUGUAGUAUUAAUGUAUAUAAAACUCUAGAUAUGGAAACAACCCUUAUCAUAUAGUUUACCCCCUAACAUAUACCCCACACAUUAGGUUAUUUAUCAAUUUUAUAUGAUAAAAUUUAUAAUAUAUUAAAACAAUAUAGAUAGUAAUGUAUUUAUGAAAUUUUAACUGUUAUUUAUUUAAGAGAGAUAAAUUUGAUGACUGAAUGUUAUUAAUCCAAAUAUAUAGUAAUAUUUUAACCCGACUGAAAAUAAUACAAUAAACAUUUUGACGAAAGAAGUCUCAACUGGUAGACCCGCAAGGUCAGCAAUCGAGAGAACAAUAACUAAAAACUGAAUAUAAUUGAACCUAUAAAAAUAUAGAUAUGAAAGAAUUAAAGACAAUAAUAACUAAAAACUGAAUAUAAUUGAACCUAUAAAAAUAUAGAUAUGAAAAGAAUUGAAGACAACAAUAACUAAAAACUGAAUAUAAUUGAACCUACUCAAUUUAUGAUUUUGAACUUUUUUUCUACGAUGCAACUUCUUAUUGUUUAUGCAAGCCGGUCAUACAUAUUAUUUUUAUUGGGUUAGUUUAAAGCUUAGGAGUUGAAGAUAUCUGAAACUAGCUUUUGGAUUUAUUUAAUUAACAAGAAAAUAAGCAGAAAAAUAGAGGAAAGAGACGAUAUGAAAAAACAGAGAACAAAGAAAAUCUCCGAACUAAAUCAAUAAUAUAAAUGCUUUGUUAUUAUUAUUUUUCAAGAGUAAGAUAUUUGUAUAUAUUAAUAUUGUUGUUUUAAAGAGAAAAAAUGAAUAAAACUUUAGAUUGUAUAAUUUAGUCAAUGUACAUAAAUAUUUAACUGUAAAUUUUCCAAAAGAAAUAAAUAAAGAAUGUUUUCAAACAAAUCCAAUAUAAGAAUAUUUUUUUAAAUUUUAUACAAUUAGAAAAUAUAAACCGCACGUAGUGCGGUUAAGAGCUCUAGUACUUCUAAAACGGGUGUCUCUUUGAAUGCUAUUCCUUGAUAAAAUAAUAACGUGUAGUAAAGCCGAACCAAUAAAACUAUGAAAUAAUAACGUGUAGUAAAGCCGAACCAAUAAAACUAUGUAUUCUAUCCGAAAAAGCCCACGAGCUAAAAAAAAAAAAGGAUAGUUAACUAAUCGACUGACCAGCUGAUCUAAUUAGUUUAGUUAGUUAAUAAAUGGAUCAGUUGAUUAAUGAUUAGUUAACGGUAGAGACACGUAAAAGGCAGAAGGAAGGAUCUAGAAUCAUCCUCCUCCACCUCCUUCUCACUCGUCCCCCUUUCCUAGUACUAGUAUAAAUACAAACCUUAAACUUCUUUAUCGCUCUACAUUUCUCGUUCGUUGGUUUGUAGCCGAAGAGAACUGUCCACUCGAAGGGUUUAAAGAAAGAAAGGUGCUCACUUUCUCUUGCGUUUUGUUGUUUCAUGGCUGUUCGUAGUUAUAAUCUCAUGUACCUGGGCUUGCUUUAGUUUAAGAGAUUGGAUUCUAGAUUCGCAGGAAUAAUAAUAAUAAUAAAAAAAAAAAAAAAUCUUUCGUUUCUUUUCCUUUGAAUUUGUUUCUGCCUUGGUAGCUCACAUAAUGUUCAUUAUUUGGAUUUAAUUAAUCUGUGAGUUUGAGAAAUGGGUUUAGGCUUUUGAUGUAACUUUGUCUGUACAAAGAGAUUUGCUGUUUUGUUUUGGUUUCAAAAAAGCUGACUUCUUUGUUAUUUUUGGAUUUGAACAGUAGGAAUCAUCCGCCAUGGACGAGGAGGAGAACAAUGCUUACAGACCAAUUGAUUCCGUCUUGGCUCCCCGCUUCAUCCAAAUGAUGAAGAACUCCGCAAGGAACGGAACCACCGAUAUGGAUUCUCAGCUUCAAGAGAUUCUCAGGAGAAGAGGAAGACGUCCCGUUUCCAUCGAGCAGCUGCUUCAGGGCAUACGCACUGGCUUAACACUUGCACCUGCUGAUGACGACACCAACAACGCACGUGAUGAUGAUGCUGGCAGAGAGAGAGGACGCGUGAUCGUCACCAAUCCUUUCAAUCAGAUCGUCGCUGUCCCGAGCUCUGCUGUUUCCGACACUCUGCGUCCCGUUGCUGGUUCUCUCAGCGAGUACUUCAUCGGUCCUGAGUUCGAAGCGUUGAGGUAUGGAACACCUCCUGCUCGGAGAGAUGCUGUUGAGGCUCUGGCUGAUGAUCUGCUCGUCCUGAAUCCGGGGAUCCAGUGUUUGGUUUGUUUGGAUUAUAUUGAGAUGAACACUACUGGGAAACAGAUGCCUUGUCAGCACAAAUUUCACAGUUACUGCUUGCUCUACUGGCUUCAGCUUCAUAGCUCGUGUCCGGUUUGUAGGUGUCAGCUACGCACUGCCAAGGAUGAGGCAGAUGGUGGGUCUUUUUCUUCUUCAAGUCAGGGAUCUGAGAACAACGACCAGGAGGAGGAGGGUCCCAUGGCUGCUUAGCCAAGCCCCAACCUGGUUCUCUAGAUAGCAGCAAAUCCAUAGGAGCAACCAUAAGAGUAUCAUGAGACCAACUUAAAUAAGAACUUCUUUGUGGCUUUGUCUUUACUUGGUUGAAUGGCUACUACUACUACCUCUCAUCAUUUUGUGAUGUUUUUUUUUUGGUUUUCGAGACUUGUCUACCUUUUGGAGAAUUCUGUUAGUCGCUUUGUGUUUUUUUUUUAUUUGUCGGUUUAGUUCAGUCUUCUUCGGUUGAUGAAAUUGAUGGUUAAUGGUGCAUAUGGUGAAAUAACAAAACAAUGCGGCUUAGAGCGACACAAAAAUUAAUUAGAAAUAUAACAACAAACAUGCCUAUCCCAGGACUAUAAUACUCACUAAUCUAAAGCUGUUCCUUCUUUGUUAAUUCCAUUGUCGCGUUACUAUUUCUUUUUUUGUUUACGCGUUAAGAUUAGUUGGAAAUUCAUAAAAGCUAGUGUAAAAGCAAUGGAACUUUCAAACCAAGGGUGGUGCGGCUUUAACAAAUUCAAUUUUUUUUUUUUUUAACAAAUUCGAAUUUAAUAUAUUAUUACACGAGGGCUCUUUACCAAAUCUCAUUGUCUAUAUAACAACAUUACCUCUCUCUCUCUCAAAUUAAUCUUAGCAAGAAAAAAGAAAAGGAAUACUGGAAUGAAUCGUCAAGAUUUCUCUCCCAGGCACUUUAACCAAGAGUAAUCUUUAUCCUCUAGUCUCUUUGGUGCUUACGAAGUUGACUUACCAUAUCGAACGAUAUUCCCUCCACCUUUCUCUACCUUUUUGAAAAAACUACCAUUUACGGGAAUUUCCAUCGGUCCAUAGCUAGACUCCAGCUCUUACACAACAGUCACUAACUUUCCGAUUCACCGAUAUACGCCUUCUGCUCCAACCAAAAUCUCCAGAGUCACCACCCUACACCUUUCUGAACAAGAUGACAUAGUUUUGGAAGAAGUACUCUACAAACCCUACUGGCUAAACGUCGCUGAAAACCUCGGAUUAGACCUUGGCGAACUGGAAGAUUACCAACUAACAAAAACGUCUGCUCGAGUCCGAGUACUACUGGAUGGCCUACAGCCAAUCAUCAAGGAAUAUAUUCUAGAACUCCCAGCUGGUGAUGAAGCUCUGCUCACCUUUGAUUAUGAAAAACUGGGGAACCACUGCAGCAUCUGCAACCGCCUCUCCCAUCUACGUUCUCACUGCCCUGAUAGAACUGAUGCAACAAUGCAAAACCCACGAAACCUUGAAACCGUUCUCCCUCAAGAGACCACGAGAAGCACUAGAGGAUCAGCUCCACGUUGCGAACCCCCUCAGGACACAAGGGCAUACGAUCCAAAUAGAAGGGUUGAGCCAGAGCGGGAUCCAUUUCAACAACGAGUAGACAGACAUGGAAGACCUUUUGGACAAAGAGUGGCCACCACCUCCACAACAAGAUUACUCCUGCUUCGUCUACUCGAGUCUCCAGAGAUGAAAGAGACGUACAAACCAAUCAACUGCAAACGGCUUACCCUCACAGAGCUUACUACGGCCACUCUCCCUCCUACUCCACAAGAAGGGAGAACAGAAACAAGUAUGGGAGCAACGACCAAAUUACGAGAGAGACGUCACCUAGGAGAUCACCCAAAGAACAUCAAAACCGGCGAGGGAGAACUCUAACUACAUCAGGGACCGAUCCAGAGGACAACAUUAACACACCCCCACCUGCAACGCAGACCAACAUCUUGCCUGUGAGCAGAAACCUCGAAUCCCAUGAUUUCCUUCCAUUACCACCACUACAACGGAUGAGGUGAUGGGGGAACUACGUGAAGCCACUCUCCAAUACAUCAACUGUGCUGAUCCCACGGAGAGCGUAGCGCGCAAACACAGAGUACAACAGAGUGAUGAGCAUGGUCUCAUGGAGGAAACAGCUCGGAACAUUGUCGAAGGAGCGGCCCACUCUCAAGCAGUAAAGAAAACAGAACCAUGUAAAAUCAGAUCUUGAAAGCACAAUGAAACAACAUGAUAUACCAAAAUUUACAGGGCUCACCUCCCACUUCCCAAUCUUCAAAACAGUUGCGGCAAAGUUCGAAGCUUUAAGCUUCUCAAUACUUCCUGGCGCUAACGUAGCUCCAGCGGAUGCAGCAGCAGUGAUGCAUUUACUUUCUUUCUUAACACCAGAGCCAACUGCAUCAACGGCUUUUUGCGUAAGCCUCAUCUGAAUCAAAUCCGACAAAGAUGGACUCUUCCUAAGGCUUAAUCCAAGAGGACUCGGCUCAUCAAGAGGGUUGUACUUAGCCGGUGCCAUCGACGACGAGCUAGUCCCUGAGCUCCAUAACUACGAAAAGAGAUAUUCAACUCGACGAAAAAAACACAAAACCUAAUCGAAAAACAGAGACUUUUCAAUCGAAUUCUAAACAGAUGAGCUAAUUGGGUGAAUAAGAGGAAGACCAAACCUUAUAUCGCUUGUUGAGAGGCCCAUGCGCUUCUUCUAAAUCAUCCUCAGCGAUCUCCAGCUUCACCGGGAGGUCAUCUCGGGACUUGGACGCCAAUUCAGAGUCAGGUCUCGUAACCCCAGAUUUCCUCAUUUCCACCAUCAAAACACGAAACCCUUUCUCCCUGAUCAAAUCCCAGAUUCAGAUUUAACCAAUUCGAUAGCGAAAUCACGAUUACGAAAGAAAAAGUUUGGAUCUUUUUUUUCUCUUCACAGAGGAUUAUCCAGAACGCGAAAGAGAAUCAGCAAACC